rnacentral:rRNA from 1 species
AAAGCGUGCGCAGGCGGUUAUAUAAGACAGAUGUGAAAUCCCCGGGCCUCAACCUGGGAACUGCAUUUGUGACUGUAUAGCUGGAGUGCGGCAGAGGGGGAUGGAAUUCCGCGUGUAGCAGUGAAAUGCGUAGAUAUGCGGAGGAACACCGAUGGCGAAGGCAAUCCCCUGGGCCUGCACUGACGCUCAUGCACGAAAGCGUGGGGAGCAAACAGGAUUAGAUACCCUUU